rnacentral:rRNA from 1 species
UACGUAGGUGGCAAGCGUUAUCCGGAAUUAUUGGGCGUAAAGCGCGCGUAGGCGGUUUCUUAAGUCUGGUGUGAAAGCCCACGGCUCAACCGUGGAGGGUCAUUGGAAACUGGGAAACUUGAGUACAGAAGAGGAAAGUGGAAUUCCAUGUGUAGCGGUGAAAUGCGCAGAGAUAUGGAGGAACACCAGUGGCGAAGGCGACUUUCUGGUCUGUAACUGACGCUGAUGUGCGAAAGCGUGGGGAUCAAACAGG